UACGGGGGGGGGCAAGCGUUGUUCGGAAUUACUGGGCGUAAAGAGCGUGUAGGCGGCCAGGUAGGUCGGUUGUGAAAACUGGAGGCUCAACCUUCAGAGGUCGACCGAAACCAUCUGGCUAGAGUCCGGGAGAGGAGAGUGGAAUUCCUGGUGUAGCGGUGAAAUGCGCAGAUAUCAGGAGGAACACCGGUGGUGUAGACGGCUCUCUGGACAGUCACUGACGCUGAGACACGAAAGCGUGGGGAGCAAACAGG
rnacentral:rRNA from 1 species